ACAAGCAGCGGAGCAUGUGGCUUAAUUCGACGCAACGCGAAGAACCUUACCAAGGCUUGACAUGCAAGUGGUAGGAAACUGAAAAGGGACGACCCUUCGGGAGCUUGCACAGGUGCUGCAUGGCUGUCGUCAGCUCGUGUCGUGAGAUGUUCGGUUAAGUCCGCUAACGAGCGCAACCCUCACUGUGUGUUAUAUGUGUCACACGGGACUGCCGGUUUUAAGCCGGAGGAAGGUGGGAUGACGUCAAGUCAGCAUGGCCUUUAUAUCCUGGGCUACACACACGCUACAAUGGUCGGUACAAUAGGUUGCCAAGCCGCGAGGCGGAGCCAAUCCAAAAAAGCCGGCCUCAGUUCAGAUUGUAGGCUGCAACUCGCCUGCAUGAAGAUGGAGUUGCUAGUAACCGCAGGUCAGCAAUACUGCGGUGAAUACGUUCCCGGGUCUU
rnacentral:rRNA from 1 species